UUUUUUGUUAAAGUGAUCAAAUGAAUCAUACAACAACUGUUAAAACAAUAUACACAUUAACUAGGGAUAAAAAAAAAAGACUGGGAAAAAAAUGAUAAAGAGAGAUACAUAUGUGUUGGGUCAUGGGUGAAUGAGUUUGCAAAUAUUGAUAACGUACGUGUAUUACGUUAAAUGAAACUUUUAUUAAUUUAUUAGAUUGUC
rnacentral:lncRNA from 1 species